CAGUUUAUACAUUCAUCUGAUCACUAGAGGGAGGGAAGAACCGCUUCAGUCCAUUCAAACUGUGAAACACCAUGAUCUCUUCAUCUUUAGUGUUUCUGGCUGUAGUUUCCUGUAUAGAUUCAUAUGAACUCACUCAGCCUGAGUCUCUGACUGUCCGUCCUGAUGCCACUCUCACUAUCAGCUGUAAAGUCUCCUAUUCAGUUACUAGCUAUGCUACAGCCUGGAUUCGUCAGCCUGCAGGAAAAGCUCUGGAAUGGAUUGGGUAUAUCAGCUCUGGUGGAAGCUUAUACUACAAGGAUUCCCUGAAAAGCCAGUUCAGCAUCACCAGAGACACCUCCAGUAACACAAUAACACUGCAGGGAAAGAAUAUGAAAGCUCAAGACACAGCUGUGUAUUAUUGUGCCAGACAAUCACAGUGACAGACGCCAACAGCC